GAUGAACGCUGGCGGCGUGCCUAAUACAUGCAAGUCGAGCGAACAGACGAGGAGCUUGCUCCUCUGACGUUAGCGGCGGACGGGUGAGUAACACGUGGAUAACCUACCUAUAAGACUGGGAUAACUUCGGGAAACCGGAGCUUAUACCGGAUAAUAUAUUGAACCGCAUGGUUCAAUAGUGAAAGACGGUUUUGCUGGCACUUAUAGAUGGAUCCCGGCCGCAUUAGCUAGUUGGUAAGGUAACGGCUUACCAAGGCUACGAUGCGUAGCCGACCGGAGAGGGUGAUCGGCCACACUGGAACUGAGACACGGUCCAGACUCCUACGGGAGGCAGCAGUAGGGAAUCUUCCGCAAUGGGCGAAAGCCUGACGGAGCAACGCCGCGUGAGUGAUGAAGGUCUUCGGAUCGUAAAACUCUGUUAUUAGGGAAGAACAAAUGUGUAAGUAACUAUGCACGUCUUGACGGUACCUAAUCAGAAAGCCACGGCUAACUACGUG
rnacentral:rRNA from 1 species